UGCGUAGAGGUGGCUUCUGGCUCGUACCGGACUCCGUUCAUAGCAGUCCAAUAGCUCGUUUCGACUGAUUUAGCUGUUUUGGAACUUAUGGCGCUGACAGAUUUUGAGUUUGAAGCACGGAUUUCGAGAAAAUAUGAAAAUACAUGUUUUAUAUGUAAUUGUGCGUCAUUUCUGCCUUUUGGAGAGAAAAUGGAUUUCGUCGCGAAUCCGUGGUCGAUCGAGGUGAACCAAAUUUGUAGCUUUGUUGUCUCCGUCGUGCUGAUCGUAUUGGUGCGAUCCGUUCACAAAUCUGACGGACGGAUCUGCGGAGAUUGCGUGUUGAUCGAGAGGAGGUUGGUGUUGGCAAAAUGGUAAUUUUGCAAAAAGUGCGAUAUUUUAUGUGCCGUUUCGCGUGAAUUUGAUUGUGAAGGUGUAUUCGCGCGUUUUACUAGCGCUGUAGAGGGCUUGGUUGCAAUUAACCAUCUUCGGA
rnacentral:lncRNA from 1 species